AUUGAACGCUGGCGGCAGGCCUAACACAUGCAAGUCGAGCGAGCGGCGGACGGGUGAGUAAUGUAUGGGGACUGCCCGAUAGAGCGGGAUAACUACUGGAAACGGUAGCUAAUACCGCAUACUAUCGGAUAACCCAUAUGGGAUUAGCUAGUAGGGGAGGUAAUGGCUCACCUAGGCGACGAUGCCUAGCUGGUCUGAGAGGAUGAUCGGCACCACUGGGCCUGAGACACGGCCCAGAAUCCUACGGAGGCAGCAGUAGGGAAUAUUGCGCAAUGGGCGCAAGCCUGAUGCAGCCAUGCCGCGUGAAUGAUGAAGGCCCUAGGAUUGUAAAAUACUUUCAGUCGGGAAGCGGUACCGACAGAGAAAGCACCGGCUAACUCCGUGCCAGCAGCCGCGGUAAUAC
rnacentral:rRNA from 1 species